rnacentral:rRNA from 1 species
GAUGAACGCUGGCGGCGUGCUUAACACAUGCAAGUCGAACGAAGCACUUUAUUUGAUUUCCUUCGGGAUUGAUUAUUUUGUGACUGAGUGGCGGACGGGUGAGUAACGCGUGGGUAACCUGCCUUGUACAGGGGGAUAACAGUUGGAAACGGCUGCUAAUACCGCAUAAGCGCACAGCAUCGCAUGAUGCAGUGUGAAAAACUCCGGUGGUAUAAGAUGGACCCGCGUUGGAUUAGCUAGUUGGUGAGGUAACGGCCCACCAAGGCGACGAUCCAUAGCCGACCUGAGAGGGUGACCGGCCACAUUGGGACUGAGACACGGCCCAAACUCCUACGGGAGGCAGCAGUGGGGAAUAUUGCACAAUGGGCGAAAGCCUGAUGCAGCGACGCCGCGUGAGCGAAGAAGUAUUUCGGUAUGUAAAGCUCUAUCAGCAGGGAAGAUAAUGACGGUACCUGACUAAGAAGCACCGG